rnacentral:tmRNA from 1 species
GGGGGCGACCUGGCUUCGACGUGGGUUGCGAAGCAGUGCAGUGCAUACCGAGGACCAGUGACCUCGUAAAUCAACUGGACCAAAUUAACUGCGAACGACGAACGUUUCGCUCUCGCGGCCUAAAUAACCCGCGAGCCUGGCACUACCUCGUCCAUGGGGUAGCUAGCGCAAGCUAGAGCCGGGUCAUUCACAUGGACUCGCGUCGUGCGGGGUCACUUCGUACGGCGUUAAAUCCAAGGUGACUCGCCCGUAACCAGCCUGCCGGUCGGCGGGUUGCGGGUUAAAGCCAAUAGACACGGCUAAGUAUGUAGAGCUGCCUGUAGAGGACUUGCGGACGCGGGUUCGAUUCCCGCCGCCUCCACCA